rnacentral:rRNA from 1 species
UACGAACCGUGCGAACGUUGUUCGGAAUCACUGGGCUUAAAGGGCGCGUAGGCGGGUUUUCAAGUCUGUGGUGAAAGCCUCCAGCUUAACUGGAGAAGUGCCGUGGAUACUGGAGACCUCGAGGAGGGUAGGGGCAUCUGGAACAGCCGGUGGAGCGGUGAAAUGCGUUGAUAUCGGCUGGAACUCCGAUGGCGAAGGCAAGGUGCUGGACCCUCUCUGACGCUGAGGCGCGAAAGUGUGGGGAUCAAACAGG